AUACGGAGGGGGUUAGCGUUGUUCGGAAUUACUGGGCGUAAAGCGUACGUAGGCGGACUGGAAAGUUGGGGGUGAAAUCCCGGGGCUCAACCCCGGAACUACCUCCAAAACUUCCAAUCUAGAGAUCGAGAGAGGUGAGUGGAAUUCCAAGUGUAGAGGUGAAAUUCGUAGAUAUUUGGAGGAACACCAGUGGCGAAGGCGGCUCACUGGCUCGAUACUGACGCUGAGGUACAAAAGCGUGGGGAGCAAACAGGAUUAGAAACCCUUGUAGUCC
rnacentral:rRNA from 1 species